rnacentral:lncRNA from 1 species
AGACCUAACCAGUAACAAGAUCUCGACCAGGACACAAACUCAACACUACGGACUCUGAAACUGAAAUAUGCAAAGGCUAUGGCGCAGAUGGGUUGUAGGACAUGAAAACAAUAUAGCACUAGACUUUUAGGACGAACACAAGGACACUCGAAACUAAGGAUAGAUGUGAACCUAACGGUACGUCUGAAGCUUUGAUUACCACUUGAGGAGAACAAGUGUGGCCCGAUCUUCCGAAAGGUUCUGGUAACUAUCGAUUUGGUGGAAACGAGACGCAAAUCAAUCCACCUUGCGAACAACACGAUUUGAAACCCUACAAUUCUUUUUUUUAUUUGAUAUUUUUCUUUUACUUAGGAGCACCAAAGAAGUAGCCACAGGAAAUUUGAGCUUAAACAAGUGAAAGACGUGGCCUGUGGAAUUUUUUGUAGAUUGCGAAAAAUAUGAAAAUAAACUUUAGGAGGUGAAAACUCAAACAUCAGAGGCGAAUUUGGGGAUUCUAAAUUUGUCGAACCCGCUCUUUGCGAGGAUAGACAGACCCAAAAAUUUUUUCUGAUUGAUUUUGAUAUAUGGCACGUCAAAAUCGGAGUUCGUAUGCGAAAGUUAUGGCUGUUUUACGAAUGGACUCCGAAUUAGAGGACAAAACGGUCCGGAAGUGGGAAAAAUUUGUGGUGGUGGCUAGAAAUUGAUGGAAACGGUGGGAAGAAACACACAAAUUGGACUCUAACAAGACCUAACCAGUAACAAGACCUCGACCAGGAUACAAACUCAACACUACGGACUAUGAAACUGAAAUAUGCAAAGGGUAUGGCGCAGAUGGGUUGUGGGACAUGAAAACAGUAUGGCACCAGACUUAUGGGACGAACACAAGGACACUCGAAAUUAAGGGUAGAUGUGAACCUAACUGUAUGUCUGAAGCUUUGAUUACCACUUGAGGAGAAUAUGUGUGGCCCAAUCUUCUGAAAGGUUCUGGUAACUAUCGAUUUGGUGGAAAAGAGACACAAAUCAAUCCAGCUUGCGAACAACACGGUUCGAAACCUGCAAUUCUUUUUAUUUUUGUUGAUAUUUUUCAUUUACUUAGGAGCACUCAUGAAGUAACCACAGGAAAUUUGAGCUUAAACAAUUGAAAGACGUGGCCUGUGGAAUUUUUUGAAGAUUACAAAAAAUAUAAAAAAACUUUAGGAGGUCAAAACUCAAACUUCAGGGGCGAAUUUGGGGAUUCUAAAAUUAUUGAACCCGCCUCUAGCAGAGAUAGAUAGAUCCAAAAAUUUGUUCUGAUCGAUUUUGAUAUAUGGAACGUCAAAAUCGGACUUCGUAUGCGAAAGUUAUGGUUGUUUUACGAACGGACUCCGAAUUAGAGGACAAAACGGUCCGGAAGUGAGAAAAAUUUGCGGUGGUGGCUAGAAAUUGAUGGAAACGGUGGGAAAAAACACACAAAUUGGACUCAAACAAGACCUAACCAGUAACAAGACCUCGACCAGGACACAAACGCAAAACUACGGAUUCUGAAACUGAAAUAUGCAAAGGUUAUAGCGCGGAUGGGUUGUACGACAUGAAAACAAUAUGGCACUAGACUUAUGAGACGAGCACAAGGACACUCGAAACUAAGGGUAGAUGUGAACCUAACGGUAUGUCUGAUGCUUUGAUUACCACUUGAGGAGAACAAGUGUGGCCCGAUCUUCCAAAAGGUUCUAGAAACUAUCGAUUAAGUGGAAACGAGACACAAAUCAAUCCAGCUUGCGAACAACACGAUUCGAAACCCUACAAUUCUUUUUAUUUUUUUUGAUAUUUUUCUUUUACUUAGGAGCACUCAAGAAGUAACCAUAGGAAAUUUGAGGUUAAACAAGUGAAAGACGUGAGCUGUGGAAACUUUUGAAAAUUGCGAAAAAUAUGAAAAAAACUUUUGGAGGUGAAAACUCAAACUUUGGAGGUGAAUUUGGGGAUUCUAAAAUUGUCAAACCCGCACACGGCGGGGAUAGACAGAUCCAAAAAUUUGGUUUGAUCGAUUUUGAUAUAUGGAACGUCAAAAUCGGAGUUCGUAUGCGAAUGUUAUGUCUGUUUUACGAACGGACACCGAAUUAGAAGACAAAACGGUCCGGAAGUGGGAAAAAUUUGCGGCGGUGGCUAGAAAUUGAUGGAAACAGUGGGAAGAAACACACAAAUUAGACUCUAACAAGACCUAACCAGUAACAAGAUCUCGACCAGGAGACAAACUCAACACUACGGACUCUGAAACUGAAAUAUGCAAAGGCUAUGACGCGGAUGGGUUGUAGGACAUGAAAACAAUAUAGCACUAGACUUAUGGGACGAACACAAGGACACUCGAAACUAAGGAUAGAUGUGAAACUAACGGUACAUCUGAAGCUUUGAUUACCAAUUGAGGAGAACAAGUGUGGCCCGAUCUUCCGAAAGGUUCGGGUAACUAUCGAUUUGGUGGAAACGAGACCCAAAUCAGUCCACCUUGCGAACAACACGAUUCGAAACCCUACAAUUCUUUUCAUUUUUUUUAUUUGAUAUUUUGUUUUACUUAGGAGCACCGAAGAAGUAGCCAUAGAAAAUUUGAGCUUAAACAAGUGAAAGACGUGGCCUGUGGAAUUUUUUGUAGAUUGCGAAAAAUAUGAAAAUAAACUUUAGGAGGUGAAAACUCAAAUUUAGAGGCGAAUUUGGGGAUUCUAAAUUUGUCGAACCCGCCUACGGGGGGAUAGACAGACCCAAAAAUUUUUUCUGAUUGAUUUUGAAAUACAUUGAUUUUGAUAUAUGGAACAUCAAAACCGGAGUUCGUAUGCGAAAGUUAUGGUUGUUUUACGAACGGACUCCGAAUUAGAGGACAAAACAGUCCGGAAGUGGGAAAAAGUUGCGGCGGUGGCUAUAAAUUGAUGGAAAUGGUGGGAAGAAACACAUGAAUUGGACUCUAACAAGACCUAACCAGUAACAAGAUCUCGACCAGGACACAAACUCAACACUACGGACUCUGAAACUGAAAUAUGCACAGGCUAUGGCGCGGAUGGGAUGUAGGACAUGAAAACAAUAUAGCAGUAGACUUAUGGGACGAACACAAGGACACUUGAAACUAAGGAUAGAUGUGAACCUAACGGUACGUCUGAAGCUUUGAUUAACACUUGAGGACAACAAGUGUGUCCCGAUCUUCCGAAAGGUUCUGGUAACUAUCGAUUUGGUGGAAACGAGACCCAAAUCAAUCCACCUUGCGAACAACGCGGUUUGAAACCCUGCAAUUCUUUUUAUUUUUUUGAUAUUUUUCUUUUACUUAGGAGCACUCAAGAAGUAACCACAGAAAAUUUGAGCUUAAAUAAGUGAAAGACGUGGUAUGUGGAAUUUUUUGAAGAUUGCGAAAAAUAUGAAAAUAAACUUUAGGAGGUGAAAACUCAAAAUUAGAGGCGAAUUUGGGGAUUCUAAAUUUGUCGAACCCACCAAUGGUGGGGAUAGACAGACCCAAAAAUUUUUUCUGAUUGAUUUUGAUUUAUGGAACGUCAAAAUCGGAGAUCGUAUGCGAAAGUUAUGGUUGUUUUAAGAACGGACUCAGAAUUAGAGGACAAAACGGUCCGGAAGUGGGAAAAUUUUGCGGUGGUGGCUAUAAAUUGAUGGAAACGGUGGGAAUAAACACACAAAUUGGACUCUAACAAGACCUAACCAGUAACAAGAUCUUGACCAGGACACAAACUCAACACUACGGACUCUGAACUGCAAUGGCUAUGGCGCGGAUGGGUUGUAGGACAUGAAAACAAUAUAGCACUAGACUUAUGGGACGAACACAAGGACACUCGAAACUAAGGAUAUAUGUGAACCUAACGGUACGUCUGAAGCUUUGAUUAACACUUGGGGAGAACAAGUGUGGCCCGAUCUUCCGAAUGGUUCUGGUAACUAUCGAUUUGGUGGAAACGAGACACAAAUCAAUCCAGCUUACGAACAACACGAUUCGAAACCCUACAAUUCUUUUUAUUUUUUGUUUGAUAUUUUUAUUUUACUUAGGAGCACUCAAGAAGUAAGCACAUGAAAUUUGGGCUUAAACAAGUGAAAGACGUGACCUGUGGAAACUUUUGAAAAUUGCGAAAAAUAUGAAAAAAACUUUUGGAGGUGAAACCUCAAACUUUAGAGUGGAAUUUGGGGAUUUUUAAUUUGUUGAACCUGCCUAUGGGGGGAUAGACAGACCCAAAAAAUUUUUCUGAUUGAUUUUGAUAUAUGGAACGUCAAAAUCGGAGUUCGUAUGCGAAAGUUAUGGCUGUUUUACGAAUGGACUCCGAAUUAUAGGACAAAACAGUCCGGAAGUGGGAAAAAUUUGCGGCGGUGGCUAUAAGUUGAUGGAAACGGUGGGAAGAAACAUACAAAUUGGACUCUAACAAGACCUAACCAGUAACAAGAUCUCGACCAGGACACAAACUCAACACUACGGACUCUGAAACUGAAAUAUGCAAAGGCUAUGGCGCGGAUGGGUUGUAGGACAUGAAAACAAUAUAGCACUAGACUUAUGGGACGAACACAAGGACACUCGAAACUAAGGGUAGAUGUGAACCUAACGGUACGUCUGAAGCUUUGAUUACCACUUGAGGAGAACAAGGCCCGAUCUUCCGAAAGGUUCUGGUAACUAUCGAUUUGGUGGAAACGAGACACAAAUCAAUCCAGUUUGCGAACAACACGAUUCGAAACCCUGCAAUUCUUUUUUUUUUGAUAUUUUUCUUUUACUUAGGAGCACUGAAGAAGUAACCACAUGAAAUUUGAGCUUAAACAAGUGAAGGACGUGGCCUGUGGAAUUUUUUGAAGAUUGCGAAAAAUAUGAAAAUAAAGUUUAGGAGGUGAAAACUCAAAUUUUCAGAGGCGAGUUUGGGAAUUCUAAAUUUGUCGCACCCGCCUAUGGCGGGGAUAGACAGAUCCAAAAAUUUUUCUUAUCGAUUUUGAUAUAUGGAACGUCAAAAUCGGAGUUCGUAGGCGAAAGUUAUGGCUGUUUUACGAAUGGACUCUGAAUUAGAGGACAAAACGGUCCGGAAGUGGGAAAAAUUUGCGUUGGUGGCUAGAAAUUGAUGGAAACGGUGGGAAAAAACACACAAACUGGACUCUAACAAGACCAAAUCAGUAACAAGACCUCGACCAGGACACAAACUCAACACUAUGGAGUCUGAAACUGAAAUAUGCAAAGGUUAUGGCGCGGAUGGGUUGUAGGACAUGAAAACAAUUUGGCACUAGACUUAUGGGACGAACACAAGGACACUCAAAACUAAGGGUAGAUGUGAACCUAACGGUACGUCUGAAGCUUUGAUUACCACUUGAGGAGAACAAGGCCCGAUCUUCCGAAAGGUUCUGGUAACUAUCGAUUUGGUGGAAACGAGACACAAAUCAAUCCAGUUUGCGAACAACACGAUUUGAAACCCUGCAAUUCUUUUUAUUUUUUUGAUAUUUUUCUUUUACUUAGAAGCACUCAAAAAGUAACCACAGGAAAUUUGAGCUUAAACAAGUGAAGGACGUGGCCUGUGGAAUUUUUUGAAGAUUGCGAAAAAUAUGAAAAUAAAGUUUAGGAGGUGAAAACUCAAAUUUUUAGAGGCGAGUUUGGGAAUUCUAAAUUUGUCGCACCCGCCUAUGGUGGGGAUAGACAGAUCCAAAAAUUUUUCUGAUUGAUUUUGAUAUAUGGAACGUCAAAAUCGGAGUUCGUAGGCGAAAGUUAUGGCUGUUUUACGAACGGACUCUGAAUUAGAGGACAAAACGGUCCGGAAGUGGGAAAAUUUUGCGGUGGUGGCUAUAAAUUGAUGGAAACGGUGGGAAGGAACACACAAAUUGGACUCUAACAAGACCUAACCAGUAACAAGAUCUCGACCAGGACAAAAACUCAACACUACGGACUCUGAAACUGAAAUAUGCAAAGGCUAUGGCGCGGAUGGGUUGUAGGACAUGAAAACAAUAUAGCACUAGACUUAUGGGACGAACACAAGGACACUCGAAACUAAGGGUAGAUGUGAACCUAACGGUACGUCUGAAGCUUUGAUUACCACUUGAGGAGAACAAGGCCCGAUCUUCCGAAAGGUUCUGGUAACUAUCGAUUUGGUGGAAACGAGACACAAAUCAAUCCAGUUUGCGAACAACACGAUUCGAAACCCUGCAAUUCUUUUUUUUUGAUAUUUUUCUUUUACUUAGGAGCACUGAAGAAGUAACCACAUGAAAUUUGAGCUUAAACAAGUGAAGGACGUGGCCUGUGGAAUUUUUUGAAUAUUGCGAAAAAUAUUAAAAUAAAGUUUAGGAGGUGAAAACUCAAAUUUUCAGAGGCGAGUUUGGGAAUUCUAAAUUUGUCGCACCCGCCUAUGGCGGGGAUAGACAGAUCCAAAAAUUUUUCUGAUCGAUUUUGAUAUAUGGAACGUCAAAAUCGGAGUUCGUAGGCGAAAGUUAUGGCUGUUUUACGAACGGACUCUAAAUUAGAGGACAAAACGGUCCGGAAGUGGGAAAAAUUUGCGGUGGUGGCUAGAAAUUGAUGGAAACGGUGGGAAAAAACACACAAACUGGACUCUAACAAGACCAAAUCAGUAACAAGACCUCGACCAGGACACAAACUCAACACUAUGGAGUCUGAAACUGAAAUAUGCAAAGGUUAUGGCGCGGAUGGGUUGUAGGACAUGAAAACAAUUUGGCACUAGACUUAUGGGACGAACACAAGGACACUCGAAACUAAGGGUAGAUGUGAACCUAACGGUACGUCUGAAGCUUUGAUUACCACUUGAGGAGAACAAGGCCCGAUCUUCUGAAAGGUUCUGGUAACUAGCGAUUUGGUGGAAACGAGACACAAAUCAAUUCAGUUUGCGAACAACACGAUUCGAAACCCUGCAAUUCUUUUUAUUUUUUUGAUAUUUUUCUUUUACUUAGGAGCACUCAAGAAGUAACCACAGGAAAUUUGAGCUUAAACAAGUGAAGGACGUGGCCUGUGGAAUUUUUUGAAGAUUUCGAAAAAUAUGAAAAUAAACUUUAGGAGGUGAAAACUCAAAUUUUCAGAGGCGAGUUUGGGAAUUCUAAAUUUGUCGCACCCGCUAAGGUGGGGAUAGACAGAUCCAAAAAUUUUUCUGAUCGAUUUUGAUAUAUGGAACGUCAAAAUCGGAGUUCGUAGGUGAAAGUUAUGGCUGUUUUACGAACGGACUCUGAAUUAGAGGAUAAAACGGUCCGGAAGUGGGAAAAUUUUGCGGUGGUGGCUAUAAAUUGAUGGAAACGGAGGGAAGAAACACACAAAUUGGACUCUAACAAGACCUAACCAGUAACAAGAUCUCGACCAGGACACAAACUCAACACUACGGACUCUGAACUGAAAUAUGCAAAGGCUAUGGCGCGGAUGGGUUGUAGGACAUGAAAACAAUAUAGCACUAGACUUAUGGGACGAACACAAGGACACUCGAAACUAAGGAUAGAUGUGAACCUAACGGUACGUCUGAAGCUUUGAUUAACACUUGAGGAGAACAAGUGUGGCCCGAUCUUCCGAAUGGUUCUAGUAACUAUCAAUUUGGUGGAAACGAGACCCAAAUCAAUCCACCUUGCGAACAACGCGGUUCAAAACCCUGCAAUUCUUUUUAUUUUUUUUUUGAUAUUUUUCUUUUACCUAGGAGCACUCAAGAAUUAACCAUUGGAAAUUUGAGCUUAAACAAGUGAAAGACGUGGCCUGUGAAAUUUUUUGAAGAUUGCAAAAAAUAUAAAAAAACUUUAGGAGGUGAAAACUCAAACUUCAGGUGCGAAUUUGGGGAUUCUAAAAUUAUCGAACCCUCCUCUAGCAGAGAUGGACAGAUCCAAAAAUUUGUUCCGAUCGAUUUUAAUAUAUGGAACGUCAAAAUCGGAGUUCGUAUGCGAAAGUUAUGUCUGUUUUACGAACGGACUCCGAAUUAGAGGACAAAACGGUCCAGAAGUGGGGAAAAUUUGUGGUGGUGGCUAGAAAUUGAUGGAAACGGUGGGAAAAAACACACAAACUGGACUCUAACAAGACCAAAUCAGUAACAAGACCUCGACCAGGACACAAACUCAACACUACGGACUCUGAAACUGAAAUAUGCAAAGGUUAUGGCGCGGAUGGGUUGUAGGACAUGAAAACAAUUUGGCACUAGACUUAUGGGAUGAAUACAAGGACACUCGACACUAAGGGUAGAUGUGAACCUAACGGUACGUCUGAAGCUUUGAUUACCACUUAAGGAGAACAAGGCCCGAUCUUCCGAAAGGUUCUGUGGUAACUAUCGAUUUGGUGGAAACGAGACAGAAAUCAAUCCAGUUUGCGAACAACAUGAUUCGAAACCCUGCAAUUCUUUUUUUUGAUAUUUUUCUUUUACUUAGGAGCACUGAAGAAGUAACCACAAGAAAUUUGAACUAAAACAAGUGAAGGACGUGGCCUGUGGAAUUUUUUGAAGAUUGCGAAAAAUAUGAAAAUAAAGUUUAGGAGGUGAAAACUCAAAUUUUCAGAGGCGAGUUUGGGAAUUCUAAAUUUGUCGCACCCGCCUAUGGCGGGGAUAGACAGAUCCACAAAUUUUUCUGAUCGAUUUUGAUAUAUGGAACGUCAAAAUCGGAGUUCGUAGGCGAAAGUUAUGGCUGUUUUACGAACGGACUCUGAAUUAGAGGACAAAACGGUCCGGAAGUGGGAAAAUUUUGCGGUGGUGGCUAUAAAUUGAUAGAAACGGUGGGAAGAAACACACAAAUGGGACUCUAACAAGACCUAACCAGUAACAAGAUCUCGACCAGGACACAAACUCAACACUACGGACUCUGAACUGAAAUAUGGAAAGGCUAUGGCGUGGAUGGGUUGUAGGACAUGAAAACAAUAUAGCACUAGACUUUUGGGACAAACACAAGGACACUCGAAACUAAGGAUAGAUGUGAACCUAACGGUACAUCUGAAGCUUUGAUUAACACUUGAGGAGAACAAGUGUGGCCCGAUCUUCCGAAAGGUUCUACUAACUAUCAAUUUGGUGGAAACGAGACCCAAAUGAAUCCACCUUGCGAACAACGCGGUUCGAAACCCUGCAAUUCUUUUUUAUUUUUUUUGAUAUUUUUCUUUUACUUAGGAGUACUCAAGAAGUAACCACACGAAAUUUGAGCUUAAAAAAGUGAAAGACGUGGCCUGUGGAAUUUUUUGAAGAUUGCAAAAAAUAUAAAAAACUUUAGGAGGUGAAAACUCAAAAUUCAGGGGCGAAUUUGGGGAUUCUAAAAUUAUCAAACCCACCUCUAGCGGAGAUAGACAGAUCCAAAAAUUUGUUCUGAUCGAUUUUGAUAUAUGGAACGUCAAAAUCGGAGUUCGUAUGCGAAAGUUAUGGCUGUUUUACGAACGGACUCCGAAUUAGAGGACAAAACGGUCCGGAAGUGGGAAAAAUUUGUGGUGGUGGCUAGAAAUUGAUGGAAACGGUGGGAAAAAACAUACAAACUGGACUCUAACAAGACCAAAUCAGUAACAAGACCUUGACUAGGACACAAACUCAACACUACGGACUCUGAAACUGAAAUAUGCAAAGGUUAUGGCGCAGAUGGAUUGUAGGACAUGAAAACAAUUUGACACUAGACUUAUGGGACGAACACAAGGACACUCGAAACUAAGGGUACAUGUGAACCUAACGGUACGUCUGAAGCUUUGAUUACCACUUGAGGAGAACAAGGCCCGAUCUUCCGAAAGGUUCUGGUAACUAUCGAUUUGGUGGAAACGAGGCACAAAUCAAUCCAGUUUGCGAACAACACGAUUCGAAACCCUGCAAUUCUUUUUUUUAUAUAUUUUUCUUUUACUUAGGAGCACUGAAGAAGUAACCACAAGAAAUUUGAGCUUAAACAAGUGAAGGACAUGGCCUGUGGAAUUUUUUGAAGAUUGUGAAAAAUAUGAAAAUAAAGAUUAGGAGGUGAAAACUCAAAUUUUCAGAGGCGAGUUAGGGAAUUCUAAAUUUGUCGCACCCGCCUAUGGCGGGGAUAGACAAAUCCAAAAUUUUUUCUGAUCGAUUUUGAUAUAUGGAACGUCAAAAUCGGAGUUCGUAGGCGAAAGUUAUGGCUGUUUUACGAACCGACUCUGAAUUAGAGGACAAAACGGUCCGGAAGUGGGAAAAAUUUGCGGUGGUGGCUAUAAAUUGAUGGAAACGGUGGGAAGAAACACACAAAUUGGACUCUAACAAGACCUAACCAGUAACAAGAUCUCGACCAGGACACAAACUCAACACUACGGACUCUAAAACUGAAAUAUGCAAAGGCUAUGGCGCAGAUGGGUUGUAGGACAUGAAAACAAUAUAGCACUAGACUUAUGGGACGAACACAAGGACACUCGAAACUAAGGAUAGAUGUGAACCUAACGGUACGUCUGAAGCUUUGAUUAACACUUGAGGAGAACAAGUGUGGCCCGAUCUUUCGAAAGGUUCUAGUAACUAUCAAUUUGGUGGAAACGAGAUCCAAAUCAAUCCAUCUUGCGAAGAACGCGGUUCGAAACCCUGCAAUUCUUUUUUUUUGAUAUUUUUCUUUUACUUGGGAGCACUGAAGAAGUAACCACAGGAAAUUUGAGCUUAAACAAGUGAAAGACUUGGCCUGUGGAAUUUUUUGAAUAUUGCGAAAAAUAUAAAAAAACUUUAGGAGGUGAAAACUCAAACUUCAGGGGUGAAUUUGGGGAUUCUAAAAUUAACGAACCCACCUCUAGCGGAGAUAGACAGAUCCAAAAAUUUCUUCUCAUCGAUUUUGAUAUAUGGAACGUCAAAAUCGGAGUUCGUAUGCGAAAGUUAUGGCUGUUUUAGGAACGGACUCCGAAUUAGAGGACAAAACGGUCCGGAAGUGGGAAAAAUUUGUGGUGGUGGCUAGAAAUUGAUGGAAACGGUGGGAAAAAACACGCAAACUGGACUCUAACAAGACCAAAUCAGUAACAAGACCUUGACCAGGACACAAACUCAACAUUACGGACUCUGAAACUGAAAUAUGCAAAGGUUAUGGCGCGGAUGGGUUGUAGGACAUGAAAACAAUUUGGCACUAGACUUAUGGGACGAACACAAGGACACUCGAAACUAAGGGUAGAUGUGAACCUAACGGUACGUCUGAAGCUUUGAUUACCACUUGAGGAGAACAAGGCCCGAUCUUCCGAAAGGUUCUGGUAACUAUCGAUUUGGUGGAAACGAGACACAAAUCAAUCCAGUUUGCUAACAACACGAUUCGAAACCCUGCAAUUCUUUUUUUUUAUAUAUUUUUCUUUUACUUAGGAGCACUGAAGAAGUAACCACAAGAAAUUUGAGCUUAAACAAGUGAAGGACAUGGCUUGUGGAAUUUUUUGAAGAUUGCGAAAAAUAUGAAAAUAAUGUUUAGGAGGUGAAUACUCAAAUUUUCAGAGGCGAGUUUGGGAAUUCGAAAUAUGUCGCACCCGCCUAUGGCGGGGAUAGACAGAUCCACAAAAUUUUCUGAUCGAUUUUGAUAUAUGGAACGUCAAAAUCGGAGUUCGUAGGCGAAAGUUAUGGCUGUUUUACGAACGGACUCUGAAUUAGAGGACAAAACGGUCCGGAAGUGGGAAAAUUUUGCGGUGGUGGCUACAAAUUGAUAGAAACGGUGGGAAGAAACACACAAAUUGGACUCUAACAAGACCUAGCCAGUAACAAGAUCUCGACCAGGACACAAACUCAACACUACGGACUCUGAACUGAAAUAUGGAAAGGCUAUGGCGCGGAUGGGUUGUAGGACAUGAAAACAAUAUAGCACUAGACUUUUGGGACAAACACAAGGACACUCGAAACUAAGGAUAGAUGUGAACCUAACGGUACAUCUGAAGCUUUGAUUAACACUUGAGGAGAACAAGUGUGGCCCGAUCUUCCGAAAGGUUCUACUAACUAUCAAUUUGGUGGAAACGAGACCCAAAUCAAUCCACCUUGCGAACAACGCGGUUCGAAACCCUGCAAUUCUUUUUUAUUUUUUUUUGAUAUUUUUCUUUUACUUAGGAGCACUCAAGAAGUAACCACACGAAAUUUGAGCUUAAAAAAGUGAAAGACGUGGCCUGUGGAAUUUUUUGAAGAUUGCAAAAAAUAUAAAAAAAACUUUAGGAGGUGAAAACUCAAAAUUCAGGGGCGAAUUUGGGGAUUCUAAAAUUAUCGAACCCACCUCUAGCGGAGAUAGACAGAUCCAAAAAUUUGUUCUGAUCGAUUUUGAUAUAUUGAACGUCAAAAUCGGAGUUCGUAUGCGAAAGUUAUGGCUGUUUUACGAACGGACUCUGAAUUAGAGGACAAAACGGUCCGGAAGUGGGAAAAAUUUACGGUGGUGGCUAGAAAUUGAUGGAAACAGUGGGAAAAAACACACAAACUGGAAUGUAACAAGACCUAACCAGUAACAAGACCUCGACCAGGACACAAACUCAACACUACGGACUCUGAAACUGAAAUAUGCAAAGGUUGUGGCGCGGAUGGGUUGUAGGAAAUGAAAACAAUUUGGCACUAGACUUAUGGGACGAAGACAAGGACACUCGAAACUAAGGGUAGAUGUGAACCUAACGAUACGUAUGAAGCUUUGAUUACAACUUCAGGAGAACAAGGCCCGAUCUUCCGAAAGGUUCUGGUAACUAUCAAUUUGGUGGAAACGAGACCCAAAUCAGUCCACCUUGCGAACAACGCGGUUCGAAACCCUGCAAUUCUUUUUAUUUUUUUUGAUAUUUUUUAUUUACUUAGGAGCACUCAAGAAGUAACCACCGGAAAUUUGAGCUUAAACAAGUUAAAGACGUGGCCUGUGGAAUUUUUUGAAGAUUGCGAAAAAUAUAAAAAAAACUUUAGGACGUGAAAACUCAAACUUCAGGGGCGAAUUUGGGGAUUCUAAAAUUAUCGCACCUGCCUCUAGCAGAGAUAGACAGAUCCAAAAAUUUGUUCUGAUCGAUUUUGAUAUAUGGAACGCCAAAAUCGGAGUUCGUAUGCGAAAGUUAUGGCUGUUUUGCGAACGGACUCUGAAUUAGAGGACAAAACGGUCCGGAAUUGGGAAAAAUUUGUGGUGGUGGCUAGAAAUUGAUGGAAACGGUGGGAAAAAACACACAAACUGGACUCUAACAAGACCAAAUCAGUAACAAGACCUUGACCAGGACACAAACUCAACACUACGGACUCUGAAACUGAAAUAUGCAAAGGUUAUGGCGCGGAUGGGUUGUAGGACAUGAAAACAAUUUGGCACUAGACUUAUGGGACGAACACAAGGACACUCGAAACUAAAGGUAGAUGUGAACCUAACGGUACGUCUGAAGCUUUGAUUACCACUUGAGGAGAACAAGGCUUGAUCUUCCGAAAGGUUGUGGUAACUAUCGAUUUGGUGGAAACGAGACACAAAUCAAUCCAGUUUGCUAACAACACGAUUCGAAACCCUGCAAUUCUUUUUUUUAUAUAUUUUUCUUUUACUUAGGAGCACUGAAGAAGUAACCACAAGAAAUUUGAGCUUAAACAAGUGAAGGACAUGGCCUGUGGAAUUUUUUGAAGAUUGCGAAAAAUAUGAAAAUAAUGUUUAGGAGGUGAAUACUCAAAUUUUCAGAGGCGAGUUUGGGAAUUCUAAAUUUGUCACACCCGCCUAUGGCGGGGAUAGACAAAUCCAAAAAUUUUUUUGAUCGAUUUUGAUAUAUGGAACGUCAAAAUCAGAGUUCGUAGGCGAGAGUUAUGGCUGUUUUACGAACAGACUCUGAAUUAGAGGACAAAACGGUCCGGAAGUGGGAAAAAUUUGCGGUGGUGGCUAUAAAUUGAUGGAAACAGUGGGAAGAAACACACAAAUUGGACUCUAACAAGACCUAACUAGUAACAAGAUCUCGACCAGGACACAAACUCAACACUACGGACUCUGAAACUGAAAUAUGCAAAGGCUAUGGCGCGGAUGGGUUGUAGGACAUGAAAACAAUAUAGCACUAGACUUAUGGGACGAACACAAGGACACUCGAAACUAAGGAUAGAUGUGAACCUAACGGUACGUCUGAAGCUUUGAUUAACACUUGAGGAGAACAAGUGUGGCCCGAUCUUCCGAAAGGUUCUAGUAACUAUCAAUUUGGUGGAAACGAGAUCCAAAUCAACCCAUCUUGCGAACAACGCGGUUCGAAACCCUGCAAUUCUUUUUUUUUGAUAUUUUUCUUUUACUAAGGAGCAGUCAAGAAGUAACCACAGGAAAUUUGAGCUUAAACAAGUGAAAGACUUGGCCUGUGGAAUUUUUUGAAUAUUGCAAAAAAUAUAAAAAAACUUUAGGAAGUGAAAACUCAAACUUCAGGGGCGAAUUUGGGGAUUCUAAAAUUAUCGAACCCACCUCUAGCGAAGAUAGACAGAUCCAAAAAUUUCUUCUCAUCGAUUUUGAUAUAUGGAACGUCAAUAUCUGAGUUCGUAUGCGAAAGUUAUGGCUGUUUUACGAACGAACUCCGAAUUUGAGGACAAAACGGUCCGGAAGUGGGAAAAAUUUGUGGUGGUGGCUAGAAAUUGAUGGAAACGGUGGGAAAAAACACACAAACUGGACUCUAACAAGACCAAAUCAGUAACAAGACCUCGACCAGGACACAAACUCAACACUACGGACUCUGAAACUGAAAUAUGCAAAGGUUGUGGCGCGGAUGGGUUGUAGGAAAUGAAAACAAUUUGGCACUAGACUUAUGGGACGAAGACAAGGACACUCGAAACUAAGGGUAGAUGUGAACCUAACGGUACGUAUGAAGCUUUGAUUACAACUUCAGGAGAACAAGGCCCGAUCUUCCGAAAGGUUCUGGUAACUAUCGAUUUGGUGGAAACGAGACCCAAAUCAGUCCACCUUGCGAACAACGCGGUUCGAAACCCUGCAAUUCUUUUUAUUUUUUUUGAUAUUUUUUAUUUACUUAGGAGCACUCAAGAAGUAACCACCGGAAAUUUGAGCUUAAAUAAGUUAAAGACGUGGCCUGUGGAAUUUUUUGAAGAUUGCGAAAAAUAUAAAAAAAACUUUAGGAGGUGAAAACUCAAACUUCAGGGGCGAGUUUGGGGAUUCUAAAAUUAUCGCACCCGCCUCUAGCCAAGAUAGACAGAUCCAAAAAUUUGUUCUCAUCGAUUUUGAUAUAUGGAACGUCAAAAUCGGAGUUCGUAUGCGAAAGUUAUGGCUGUUUUGCGAACGGACUCCGAAUUAGAGGACAAAACGGUCUGGAAUUGGGAAAAAUUUGUGGUGGUGGCUAGAAAUUGAUGGAAACGGUGGGAAAAAACACACAAACUAGACUCUAACAAGACCAAAUCAGUAACAAGACCUUGACCAGGACACAAACUCAACACUACGGACUCUGAAACUGAAAUAUGCAAAGGUUAUGGCGCGGAUGGGUUGCAGGACAUGAAAACAAUUUGGCACUAGACUUAUGGGACGAACACAAGGACACUCGAAACUAAAGGUAGAUGUGAACCUAACGGUACGUCUGAAGCUUUGAUUACCACUUGAGGAGAACAAGGCCUGAUCUUCUGAAAGGUUGUGGUAACUAUCGAUUUGGUGGAAACGAGACACAAAUCAAUCCAGUUUGCGAACAACACGAUUGGAAACCCAGCAAUUCUUUUUUUUUUAUGUUUUUAUUUUACUUAGGAGCACUCAAGAAGUAACCACAAGAAAUUUGAGCUUAAACAAGUGAAGGACGUGGCCUGUGGAAUUUUUUGAAGUUUGCGAAAAAUAUGAAAAUAAUGUUUAGGAGGUGAAAACUCAAAUUUUCAGAGGCGAGUUUGGGAAUUCUAAAUUUGUCGCACCCGCCUAUGGCGGGGAUAGAUAGAUCUAAAAAAUUUUCUGAUCGAUUUUGAUAUAUGGAACGUCAAAAUCGGAGUUCGUAGGCGAAAGUUAUGGCUGUUUUACGAACGGACUCUGAAUUAGAGGACAAAUCGGUCCGGAAGUGGGAAAGUUUUGCGGUGGUGGUUAUAAAUUGAUGGAAACGGUGGGAAGAAACACACAAAUUGGACUCUAACAAGACCUAACCAGUAACAAGAUCUCGACCAGGACACAAACUCAACACUACGGACUGAACUGAAAUAUGCAAAGGCUAUGGCGCGGAUGGGUUGUAGGACAUGAAAACAAUAUAGCACUAGACUUAUGGGACGAACACAAGGACACUCGAAACUAAAGAUAGAUGUGAACCUAACGGUACGUCUGAAGCUUUGAUUAACACUUGAGGAGAACAAGUGUGGCCCGAUCUUCCGAAAGGUUCUAGUAACUAUCAAUUUGGUGGAAACGAGACCCAAAUCAAUCCACCUUGCGAACAACGCGGUUCAAAACCCUGCAAUUCUUUUUAUUUUUUUUGAUAUUUUUCUUUUAUUUAGGAGCACUCAAGAAGUAACCACAGGAAAUUUGAGCUUAAACAAGUGAAAGACAUGGCCUGUGGAAUUUUUGGAAGAUUGCGAAAAAUAUAAAAAAAACUUUAGGAGGUGAAAACUCAAACUUCAGGGGCAAAUUUGGGGAUUCUAAAAUAAUCGAACCCACCUCUAGCAGAGAUAGACAGAUCCAAAAAUUUGUUCUGAUCGACUUUGAUAUAUGGAACGUCAAAAUCGGAGUUCGUAUGAGAAAGUUAUGGUUGUUUUACGAACGGACUCCGAAUUAGAGGACAAAACGGUCCGGGAGUGGGAAAAAUUUGUGGUGGUGGUUAGAAAUUGAUGGAAACGGUGGGAAAAAACAUACAAACUGGACUCUAACAAGACCAAAUCAGUAACAGGACCUCGACCAGGACACAAACUCAACACUACGGACUCUGAAACUGAAAUAUGCAAAGGUUAUGGCGCGCAUGGGUUAUAGGACAUGAAAACAAUUUGGCACUAGACUUAUGGGACGAACACAAGGACACUCGAAACUAAGGGUAGAUGUGAACCUAACGGUACGUCUGAAGCUUUGAUUACCACUUGAGGAGAACAAGGCCCGAUCUUCCGAAAGGUUCUGGUAACUGUCGAUUUGGUUGAAACGAGACACAAAUCAAUCCAGUUUGCGAACAACACGAUUCGAAACCCUACAAUUCUUUUUAUUGAUAUUUUUCUUUUACUUAGGAGCACUGAAGAAGUAACCACAAGAAAUUUGAGCUUAAACAAGUGAAGGACGUGGCCUGUGGAAUUUUUUGAAGAUUGCGAAAAAUAUGAAAAUAAAGUUUAGGAGGUGAAAACUCAAAUUUUCAGAGGCGAGUAUGGGAAUUCUAAAUUUGUCGCACCGGCCUAUGGCGGGGAUAGACAGAUCCAAAAAAUUUUCUGAUCGAUUUUGAUAUAUGGAACGUCAAAAUCGGAGUUCGUAGGCGAAAGUUAUGGCUGCUUUACGAACGGACUCUGAAUUAUAGGACAAAACGGUCCGGAAGUGGGAAAAAUUUGCGGUGGUGGCUAGAAAUUAAUGGAAACGGUGGGAAAAACACACAAACUGGACUCUAACAAGACCAAAUUAGUAACAAGACCUCGACCAGGACACAAACUCAACACGGACUAUGAAACUGAAAUAUGCAAAGGUUAUGGCGCGGAUGGGUUGUAGGACAUGAAAACAAUUUGGCACUAGACUUAUGGGACGAACACAAGGACACUCGAAACUAAGGGUAGAUGUGAACCUAACGGUACGUCUGAAGCUUUGAUUACCACUUGAGGAGAACAAGGCCCGAUCUUCCGAAAGGUUCUGGUAACUAUCAAUUUGGUGGAAACGAGACACAAAUUAAUCCAGUUUGCGAACAACACGAUUCCAAACCCUGCAAUUCUUUUUAUUUUUUUUGAUAUUUUUUUUUACUUCGGAGCACUCAAGAAGUAACCACAGAAAAUUUGAGCUUAAACAAGUGAAGGACGUGGCCUGUGGAAUUUUUUGAAGAUUGCGAAAAAUAUGAAAAUAAAGUUUAGGAGGUGAAAACUCAAAUUUUCAGAGGCGAGUUUGGGAAGUCUAAAUUUGUCGCACCCGCCUAUGGUGGGGAUAGACAGAUCCAAAAAUUUUUCUGAUCGAUUUUGAUAUAUGGAACGUCAAAAUCAGAGUUCGUAGGCGAAAGUUAUGGCUGUUUUACGAACGGACUCUGAAUUAGAGGACAAAACGGUCCGGAAGUGGGAAAAUUUUGCGGUGGUGGCUAUAAAUUGAUGGAAACGGUGGGAAGAAACACACAAAUUGGACUCUAACAAGAUCUAACCAGUAACAAGAUCUCGACUAGGACACAAAAUCAACACUACAGACUCUGAAACUGAAAUAUGCAAAGGCUAUGGCGCGGAUGGGUUGUAGGACAUGAAAACAAUAUAGCACUAGACUUAUGGGACGAACACAAGGACACUCGAAACUAAGGAUAGAUGUGAACCUAACGGUACGUCUGAAGCUUUGAUUAACACUUGAGGAGAACAAGUGUGGCCCGAUCUUGCGAAAGGUUCUAGUAACUAUCAAUUUGGUGGAAACGAGACCCAAAUCAAUCCAUCUUGCGAACAACGCGGUUCGAAACUCUGCAAUUCUUUUUAUUUUUUUUUGAUAUUUUUAUUUUACUUAGGAGCACUCAAGAAGUAACCAUAGGAAAUUUGAGCUUAAACAAGUGAAAGACUUGGCCUGUGGAAUUUUUUGAAGAUUGCGAAAAAUAUAAAAAAACAUUAGGAGGUGAAAACUCAAACUUCAGGAGCGAAUUUGGGGAUUCUAAAAUUAUCGAACCCACCUCUAGCGGAGAUAGACAGAUCCAAAAAUUUGUUGUGAUCGAUUCUGAUAUAUGGAACGUCAAUAUCGGAGUUCGUAUGCGAAAGUUAUGGCUGUUUUACGAACGGACUCCGAAUUAGAGGACAAAACGGUCCGGAAGUGGGAAAAAUUUGUGGUGGUGGCUAGAAAUUGAUGGAAACGGUGGGAAAAAACACACAAACUGGACUCUAACAAGACCAAAUCAGUAACAAGACCUCGACCAGGACACAAACUCAACACUACGGACUCUGAAACUGAAAUAUGCAAAGGUUAUGGCGCGGAUGGGUUGUAGGACAUAAAAAUAAUUUGGCACUAGACUUAUGGGAGGAACACAAGGACACUCAAAACUAAGGGUAGAUGUGAACCUAACGGUACGUCUCAAGCUUUGAUUACCACUUGAGGAGAACAAGGCCCGAUCUUCCGAAAGGUUCUGGUUACUAUCGAUUUGGUGGAAACGAGACACAAAUCAAUCCAGUUUGCGAACAACACGAUUCGAAACCCUACAAUUCUUUUUUUUGAUAUUUUUCUUUUAAUUAGGAGCACUCAAGAAGUAACCACAAGAAAUUUGAGCUUAAACAAGUGAAGGACGUGGCCUUUGGAAUUUUUUGAAGAUUGCGAAAAAUAUGAAAAUAAAGUUUAGGAGGUGAAAACUCAAAUUUUCAGAGGCGAGUUUGGGAAUUCUAAAUUUGUCGCACCCGCCUAUGGCGGGGAUAGACAAAUCCAAAAAUUUUUCUGAUCGACUUUGAUAUAUGGAACGUCAAAAUCGGAGUUCGUAGGCGAAAGUUAUGGCUGUUUUACGAACGGACUCUGAAUUAGAGGACAAAACGGUGCGGAAGUGGGAAAAAAUUGCGGUGGUGGCUAGAAAUUGAUGGAAACGGUGGGAAAAACACACAAACUGGACUCUAACAAGACCAAAUUAGUAACAAGACCUCGACCAAGACACAAACUCAACACUACGGACUAUGAAACUCAAAUAUGCAAAGGUUAUGGCGCGGAUGGGUUGUAGGACAUGAAAACAAUUUGGCACUAGACUUAUGGGACGAACGCAAGGACACUCGAAACUAAGGGUAGAUGUGAACCUAACGGUACGUCUGAAGCUUUGAUUACCACUUGAGGAGAACAAGGCCCGAUCUUCCGAAAGGUUCUGGUAACUAUCGAUUUCAUGGAAACGAGACACAAAUUAAUCCAGUUUGCGAACAACACGAUUCGAAACCCUGCAAUUCUUUUUAUUUUUUUGAUAUUUUUCUUUUACUUAGGAGCACUCAAGAAGUAACCACAGGAAAUUUGAGCUUAAACAAGUGAAGGACGUGGCCUGUGGAAUUUUUUGAAGAUUGCGAAAAAUAUGAAAAUAAAGUUUAGGAGGUGAAAACUCAAAUUUUCAGAGGCGAGUUUGGGAAUUCUAAAUUUGUCGCACCCGCCUAUGGUGGGGCUAGACAGAUCCAAAAAUUUUUCUGAUCGAUUUUGAUAUAUGAAACGUCAAAAUCAGAGUUCGUAGGCGAAAGUUAUGGCUGUUUUACGAACGGACUCUGAAUUAGAGGACAAAACGGUCCGGAAGUGGGAAAAUUUUGUGGUGGUGGCUAUAAAUUGAUGGAAACGGUGGGAAGAAACACACAAAUUGGACUCUAACAAGACCUAACCAGUAACAAGAUCUCGACCAGGACACAAACUCAACACUACAGACUCUGAAACUGAAAUAUGCAAAGGCUAUGGCGCGGAUGGGUUGUAGGACAUGAAAACAAUAUAGCACUAGACUUAUGGGACGAACACAAGGACACUCGAAACUAAGUAUAGAUGUGAACCUAACGGUACGUCUGAAGCUUUGAUUAACACUUGAGGAGAACAAGUGUGGCCCGAUCUUCCGAAAGGUUCUAGUAACUAUCAAUUUGGUGGAAACGAGACCCAAAUCAAUCCAUCUUGCGAACAACGCGGUUCGAAACCCUGCAAUUCUUUUUAUUUUUUUUGAUAUUUUUCUUUUACUUAGGAGCACUCAAGAAGUAACCAUAGGAAACUUCAGCUUAAACAAGUGAAAGACUUGGCCUGUGGAAUUUUUUGAAGAUUGCGAAAAAUAUAAAAAAACUUUAGGAGGUGAAAACUCAAACUUUAGGAGCGAAUUUGGGGAUUCUAAAAUUAUUGAACCCACCUCUAGCGGAGAUAGACAGAUCUAAAAAUUUGUUGUGAUCGAUUUUGAUAUAUGGAACGUCAAUAUCGGAGUUCAUAUGCGAAAGUUAUGGCUGUUUUACGAACGGACUCCAAAUUAGAGGACAAACGGAAGUGGGAAAAAUUUGUGGUGGUGGCUAGAAAUUGAUGGAAACGGUGGGAAAAAACACACAAACUGGACUCUAACAAGACCAAAUCAGUAACAAGACCUCGACCAGGACAGAAACUCAACACUACGGACUCUGAAACUGAAAUAUGCAAAGGUUAUGGCGCGGAUGGGUUGUAGGACAUGAAAACAAUUUGGCACUAGACUUAUGGGAGGAACACAAGGACACUCGAAACUAAGGGUAGAUGUGAACCUAACAGUACGUCUGAAGCUUUGAUUACCACUUGAGGAGAACAAGGCCCGAUCUUCCGAAAGCUUCCGGUAACUAUCGAUUUGGUGGAAACGGGACACAAAUCAAUCCAGUUUGCGAACAACACGAUUCGAAACCCUGCAAUUCUUUUUUUUGAUAUUUUUCUUUUACUUAAGAGCACUGAAGAAGUAACCACAAGAAAUUUGAGCUUAAACAAGUGAACGACGUGGCCUGUGGAAUUUUUUGAAGAUUGCGAAAAAUAUGAAAAUAAAGUUUAGGAGGUGAAAACUCAAAUUUUCAGAGGCGAGUUUGGGAAUUCUAAAUUCGUCGCACCCGCCUAUGGCUGGGAUAGACAGAUCCAAAAUUUUUUCUGAUCGAUUUUGAUAUAUGGAACGUCAAAAUCGGAGUUCGUAGGCGAAAGUUAUGGCUGUUUUACGAACGGACUACGAAUUAGGGGACAAAACAGUCCGGAAGUAGGAAAAUUUUGCGGUGGUGGCUAUAAAUUGAUGGAAAGGGUGGGAAGAAACACACAAAUUGGACUCUAACAAGAUCUAACCAGUAACAUGAUCUCGACUAGGACACAAACUCAACACUACGGGCUCUGAAACUGAAAUAUGCAAAGGCUGUGGCGCGGAUGGGGUGUAGGACAUGAAAACAAUAUAGCACUAGGCUUAUGGGACGAACACAAGGACACUCGAAACUAAGGAUAGAUAUGAACCUAACGGUACGUCUGGAGCUUUGAUUAACACUUGAGGAGAACAAGUGUGGCCCGAUCUUCCGAAAGGUUCUAGUAACUAUCAGUUUUGUGGAAACGAGACCCAAAUCAAUCCAUCUUGCGAACAACACGGUUCGAAACUAUGCAAUUUUUUUUUUGAUAUUUUUCUUUUACUUAGGAGCACUCAAGAAGUAACCAUAGGAAAUUUGAGCUUAAACAAGUGAAAGACUUGGCCUGUGAAAUUUUUUGAAGAUUACGAAGAAUAUAAAAAAACUUUAGGAGGUGAAAACUCAAACUUCAGGGGCGAAUUUGGGGAUUCUAAAAUUAUCGAACCCACCUCUAGCAAAGAUAGACAGAUCCAAAAAUUUGUUCUGAUCGAUUUUGAUAUAUGGAACGUCAAUAUCGGAGUUCCUAUGCGAAAGUUAUGGCUGUUUUACGAACGGACUCUGAAUUAGAGGACAAAACGGUCCGGAAGUGGGAAAAUUUUACGGUGGUGGCUAUAAAUUGAUGGAAACGGUGGGAAGAAACACACAAAUUGGACUCUAACAAGACCUAACCAGUAACACUGAAACUGAAAUAUGUAAAGGCUAUGGCGCGGAUGGGUUGUAGGACAUGAAAACAAUAUAGCACUAGACUUAUGGGACGGACAUAAGGACACUCGAAACUAAGGAUAGAUAUGAACCUAACGGUACGUCUGAAGCUUUGAUUAACACUUGAGGAGAACAAGUGUGGCCCGAUCUUCCGAAAGGUUCUAGUAACUAUCAAUUUGGUGGAAACGAGACCCAAAUCAAUCCAUCUUGCGAACAACGCGAUUCGAAACCCUGCAAUUCUUUUUAUUUUUUUUGAUAUUUUUCUUUUACUUAGGAGCACUCAAGAAGUAACCAUAGGAAAUUUGAGCUUAAACAAGUGAAGGACGUGGCCUGUGGAAUUUUUUGAAGAUUGCGAAAAAUAUAAAAAAACUUUAGGAGGUGAAGACUCAAACUUCAGGGGCGAAUUUGGGGAUUCUAAAAUUAUCGAACCCACCUCUAGCAGAGAUAGACAGAUCCAAAAAUUUGUUCUGAUCGAUUUUGAUAUAUGGAACGUCAAUAUCGGAGUUCGUAUGCGAAAGUUAUGACUGUUUUACGAACGGACUCCGAAUUAGAGGACAAAACGGUCCGGAAGUGGGAAAAAUUUGUGGUGGUGGCUAGAAAUUGAUGGAAACGGUGGGAAAAAACACACAAACUGGACUCUAACAAGACCAAAUCAGUAACAAGACCUCGACCAGGACACAAACUCAACACUACGGAAUCUGAAACUGAAAUAUGCAAAGGUUAUGGCGCGGAUGGGUUGUAGGACAUGAAAACAAUUUGGCACUAGACUUAUGGGAGGAACACAAGGACACUCGAAACUAAGGGUAGAUGUGAACCUAACAGUACGUCUGAAGCUUUGAUUACCACUUGAGGAGAACAAGGCCCGAUCUUCCGAAAGGUUCUUUUAACUAUCGAUUUCGUGGAAACGAGACACAAAUCAAUCCAGUUUGCGAACAACACGAUUCGAAACCCUACAAUUCUUUUUUUUGAUAUUUUUCUUUUACUUAGGAGCACUGAAGAAGUAACCACAAGAAAUUUGAGCUUAAACAAGUGAAGGACGUGGCCUGUGGAAUUUUUUGAAGAUUGCGAAAAAUAUGAAAAUAAAGUUUAGGAGGUGAAAACUCAAAUUUUCAGAGGCGAGUUUGGGAAUUCUAAAUUCGUCGCACCCGCCAAUGGCUGGGAUAGAUAGAUCCAAAAAUUUUUCUGAUCGAUUUUGAUAUAUGGAACGUCAAAAUCGGAGUUCGUAGGCGAAAGUUAUGGCUGUUUUACGAACGGACUCCGAAUUAGGGGACAAAACAGUCCGGAAGUGGGAAAAUUUUGCGGUGGUGGCUAUAAAUUGAUGGAAAGGGUGGGAAGAAACACACAAAUUGGACUCUAACAAGACCUAACCAGUAACAAGAUCUCGACCAGGUCACAAACUCAACACUACGGACUCUGAAACUGAAAUAUGCAAAGGCUAUGGCGCGGAUGGGUUGUAGGACAUGAAAACAAUAUAGCACUAGACUUAUGGGACGAACACAAGGACACUCGAAACUAAGGAUAGAUAUGAACCUAACGGUACGUCUGAAGCUUUGAUUAACAUUUGAGGAGAACAAGUGUGGCCCGAUCUUCCGAAAGGUUCUAGUAACUAUCAAUUUUGUGGAAACGAGACCCAAAUCAAUCCAUCUUGCGAACAACACGGUUCGAAACUAUGCAAUUUUUUUUUUGAUAUUUUUCUUUUACUUAGGAGCACUCAAGAAGUAACCAUAGGAAAUUUGAGCUUAAACAAGUGAAAGACUUGGCCUGUGAAAUUUUUUGAAGAUUACGAAGAAUAUAAAAAAACUUUAGGAGGUGAAAACUCAAACUUCAGGGGCGAAUUUGGGGAUUCUAAAAUUAUCGAACCCACCUCUAGCAAAGAUAGACAGAUCCAAAAAUUUGUUCUGAUCGAUUUUGAUAUAUGGAACGUCAAUAUCGGAGUUCCUAUGCGAAAGUUAUGGCUGUUUUACGAACGGACUCUGAAUUAGAGGACAAAACGGUCCGGAAGUGGGAAAAUUUUACGGUGGUGGCUAUAAAUUGAUGGAAACGGUGGGAAAAAACACACAAACUGGACUCUAACAAGACCAAAUCAGUAACAAGACCUCGACCAGGACACAAACUCAACACUACGGACUCUGAAACUGAAAUAUGCAAAGGUUAUGGCGCGGAUGGGUUGUAGGACAUGAAAACAAUUUGGCACUAGACUUAUGGGACGAACACAAGGACACUCGAAACUAAGGGUAGAUGUCAACCUAACGGUACGUCUGAAGCUUUGAUUACCACUUGAGGAGAACAAGGCCCGAUCUUCCGAAAGGUUCUGGUAACUAUCGAUUUGGUGGAAACGAGACACAAAUCAAUCCAGUUUGCGAACAACACGAUUCGAAACCUUGCAAUUCUUUUUUUUUUGAUAUUUUUCCUUUUACUUAGGAGCACUGAAGAAGUAACCACAAGAAAUUUGAGCUUAAACAAGUGAAGGACGUGGCCUGUGGAAUUUUUUGAAGAUUGCGAAAAAUAUGAAAAUAAAGUUUAGGAGGUGAAAACUCAAAUUUUCAGAGGCGAGUUUAGGAAUUCUAAAUUUGUCGCACCCGCCUAUGGCAGGGAUAGACAGAUCCAAAAAUUUUUCUGAUCGAUUUUGAUAUAUGGAACGUCAAAAUCGGAGUUCGUAGGCGAAAGUUAUGGCUCUUUUACGAACGGACUCAGAAUUAGAGGACAAAACGGUCCGGAAGUGGGAAAAAUUUGCGGUGGCGGCUAGAAAUUGAUGGAAACGGUGGGAAAAACACACAAACUGGACUCUAACAAGACCAAAUUAGUAACAAGACCUCGACCAGGACACAAACUCAACACUACGGACUAUGAAACGGAAAUAUGCAAAGGUUAUGGCGCGGAUGGGUUGUAGGACAUGAAAACAAUUUGGCACUAGACUUAUGGGACGAACACAAGGACACUCGAAACUAAGGGUAGAUGUGAACCUAACGGUACGUCUGAAGCUUUGAUUACCACUUGAGGAGAACAAGGCCCGAUCUUCCGAAAGGGUCUGGUAACUAUCGAUUUGGUGGAAACGAGACACAAAUUAAUCCAGUUUGCGAACAACACGAUUCGAAACCCGGCAAUUCUUUUUAUUUUUUUUGAUAUUUUUCUUUUACUUAGGAGCACUCAAGAAGUAACCACAAGAAAUUUGAGCUUAAACAAGUGAAGGACGUGGCCUGUGGAAUUUUUUGAAGAUUGCGAAAAAUAUGAAAAUAAAGUUUAGGAGGUGAAAACUCAAAUUUUUCAGAGGCGAGUUUGGGAAUUCUAAAUUUGUCGCACCCGCCUAUGGUGGGGAUAGACAGAUCCAAAAAAUUUUCUGAUCGAUUUUGAUAUAUGGAACGUCAAAAUCAGAGUUCGUAGGCCAAAGUUAUGGCUGUUUUACGAACGGACUCUGAAUUAGAGGACAAAACGGUCCGGAAGUGGGAAAAUUUUACGGUGGUGGCUAUAAAUUGAUGGAAACGGUGGGAAGAAACACACAAAUUGGACUCUAACAAGACCUAACCAGUAACAAGAUCUCGACCAGGACACAAACUCAACACUACGGACUCUGAAACUGAAAUAUGCAAAGGCUAUGGCGCGGAUGGGUUGUAGGACAUGAAAACAAUAUAGCACUAGACUUAUGGGACGAACACAAGGACACUCGAAACUAAGGAUAGAUAUGAACCUAACGGUACGUCUGAAGCUUUGAUUAACACUUGAGGAGAACAAGUAUGGCCCGAUCUUCCGAAACGUUCUAGUAACUAUCAAUUUGGUGGAAACGAGACCCAAAUCAAUCCAUCUUGCGAACAACGCGGUUCGAAACCCUGCAAAUCUUUUUAUUUAUUUUUUUUGAUAUUUUUAUUUUACUUAGGAGCACUCAAGAAGUAACCAUAGAAAUUUUGAGCUUAAACAAGUGAAAGACUUGGCCUGUGGAAUUUUUUGAAGAUUGCGAAAAAUAAAAAAAACUUUAGGAGGUGAAAACUCAAAUUUCAGGGGCGAAUUUGGGGAUUCUAAAAUUAUCGAACCCACCUCUAGCGGAGAUAGACAGAUCCAAAAAUUUGUUCUGAUCGAUUAUGAUAUAUGGAACGUCAAUAUCGGAGUUCGUAUGCGAAAGUUAUGACUGUUUUACGAACGGACUCCGAAUUAGAGGACAAAACGGUCCGGAAGUGGGAAAAAUUUGUGGUGGUGGCUAGAAAUUGAUGGAAACGGUGGGAAAAAACACACAAACUGGACUCUAACAAGACCAAAUCAGUAACAAGACCUCGACCAGGACACAAACUCAACACUACGGAAUCUGAAACUGAAAUAUGCAAAGGUUAUGGCGCGGAUGGGUUGUAGGACAUGAAAACAAUUUGGCACUAGACUUAUGGGAGGAACACAAGGACACUCGAAACUAAGGGUAGAUGUGAACCUAACAGUACGUCUGAAGCUUUGAUUACCACUUGAGGAGAACAAGGCCCGAUCUUCCGAAAGGUUCUUUUAACUAUCGAUUUCGUGGAAACGAGACACAAAUCAAUCCAGUUUGCGAACAACACGAUUCGAAACCCUACAAUUCUUUUUUUUGAUAUUUUUCUUUUACUUAGGAGCACUGAAGAAGUAACCACAAGAAAUUUGAGCUUAAACAAGUGAAGGACGUGGCCUGUGGAAUUUUUUGAAGAUUGCGAAAAAUAUGAAAAUAAAGUUUAGGAGGUGAAAACUCAAAUUUUCAGAGGCGAGUUUGGGAAUUCUAAAUUCGUCGCACCCGCCAAUGGCUGGGAUAGAUAGAUCCAAAAAUUUUUCUGAUCGAUUUUGAUAUAUGGAACGUCAAAAUCGGAGUUCGUAGGCGAAAGUUAUGGCUGUUUUACGAACGGACUCCGAAUUAGGGGACAAAACAGUCCGGAAGUGGGAAAAUUUUGCGGUGGUGGCUAUAAAUUGAUGGAAAGGGUGGGAAGAAACACACAAAUUGGACUCUAACAAGACCUAACCAGUAACAAGAUCUCGACCAGGUCACAAACUCAACACUACGGACUCUGAAACUGAAAUAUGCAAAGGCUAUGGCGCGGAUGGGUUGUAGGACAUGAAAACAAUAUAGCACUAGACUUAUGGGACGAACACAAGGACACUCGAAACUAAGGAUAGAUAUGAACCUAACGGUACGUCUGAAGCUUUGAUUAACACUUGAGGAGAACAAGUAUGGCCCGAUCUUCCGAAACGUUCUAGUAACUAUCAAUUUGGUGGAAACGAGACCCAAAUCAAUCCAUCUUGCGAACAACGCGGUUCGAAACCCUGCAAAUCUUUUUAUUUAUUUUUUCUGAUAUUUUUAUUUUACUUAGGAGCACUCAAGAAGUAACCAUAGAAAUUUUGAGCUUAAACAAGUGAAAGACUUGGCCUGUGGAAUUUUUUGAAGAUUGCGAAAAAUAAAAAAAACUUUAGGAGGUGAAAACUCAAAUUUCAGGGGCGAAUUUGGGGAUUCUAAAAUUAUCGAACCCACCUCUAGCGGAGAUAGACAGAUCCAAAAAUUUGUUCUGAUCGAUUAUGAUAUAUGGAACGUCAAAAUCGGAAUUCGUAUGCGACAGUUAUGGCUGUUUUACGAACGGACUCCGAAUUAGAGGACAAACAGUCCGGAAGUGGGAAACAUUUGCGGCGGUGCCUAUAAAUUGAUGGAAACGGUGGGAAGAAACACACAAAUUUGACUCUAACAAGACCUAGCCAGUAACACUGAAACUGAAAUAUGCAAAGGUUAUGGCGCGGAUGGGUUGUAGGACAUGAAAACAAUAUAGCACUAGACUUAUGGGAUGAACAUAAAGACACUCGAAACUAAGGAUAGAUAUGAACCUAACGGUACGUCUGAAGCUUUGAUUAACACUUGAGGAGAACAAGUGUGGCCCGAUCUUCCGAAAGGUUCUAGUAACUAUCAAUUUGGUGGAAACGAGACCCAAAUCAAUCCAUCUUGCGAACAACGCGGUUCGAAACCCUGCAAUUCUAUUUUUUUUUUGAUAUUUGUCUUUUACUUAGGAGCACUCAAGAAGUAACCAUAGGAAAUUUGAGCUUAAACAAGUGAAAGACUUGGCCUGUGGAAUUUUUUUAAGAUUGUGAAAAAUAUAAAAAAACUUUAGGAGAUGAAAACUCAAACUUCAGGGGCGAAUUUGGGGAUUCUAAAAUUAUCGAACCCACCUCUAGUGGAGAUAGACAGAUCCAAAAAUUUGUUCUGAUCGAUUUUGAUAUAUGGAACGUCAAUAUCGGAGUUCGUAUGCGAAAGUUAUGGCUGUUUUACGAACGGACUCCGAAUUAGAGGACAAAACGGUCCGGAAGUGGGAAAAAUUUGUGGUGGUGGCUAGAAAUUAAUGGAAACGGUGGGAAAAAACACACAAACUGGACUCUAACAAGACCAAAUCAGUAACAAGACCUCGACCAGGACACAAACUCAACACUACGGACUCUAAAACUGAAAUAUGCAAAGGUUAUGGCGCGGAUGGGUUGUAGGACAUGAAAACAAUUUGGCACUAGACUUAUGGGACGAACACAAGGACACUCGAAACUAAGGAUAGAUGUGAACCUAACGGUACGUCUGAAGCUUUGAUUACCACAUGAGGAGAACAAGGCCCGAUCUUCCGAAAGGUUCUGGUAACUAUCGAUUUGGUGGAAACGAGACACAAAUCAAUCCAGUUUGCGAACAACACGAUUCGAAACCCUGCAAUUCUUUUUUUUGAUAUUUUUCUUUUACUUAGGAGCACUCAAGAAGUAACCACAGGAAAUUUGAGCUUGAACAAGUGAAGGACGUGGCCUGUGGAAUUUUUUGAAGAUUGCGAAAAUAUGAAAAGAAAGUUUAGGAGGUGAAAACUCAAAUUUUCAGAGGCGAGUUUAGGAAUUCUAAAUUUGUCGCACCUGCCUAUGGCGGGGAUAGACAGAUCCAAAAAUUUUUCUGAUCGAUUUUGAUAUAUGGAACGUCAAAAUCGGAGUUUGUAGGCGAAAGUUAUGGCUGUUUUAUGAACGGACUCUGAAUUAGAGGACAAAACGGUCCGGAAGUGGGAAAAAUUUGCGGUGGUGGCUAGAAAUUGAUGGAAACGGUGGGAAAAACACACAAACUGGACUCUAACAAGACCAAAUUAGUAACAAGACCUUGACCAGGACACAAACUCAACACUACGGACUAUGAAACUGAAAUAUGCAAAGGUUAUGGCGCGGAUGGGUUGUAGGACAUGAAAACAAUUUGGCACUAGACUUAUGGGACGAACACAAGGACACUCGAAACUAAGGGUAGAUGUGAACCUAAUGGUACGUCUGAAGCUUUGAUUACCACUUGAGGAGAACAAGGCCCGAUCUUGCGAAAGGUUCUGGUAACUAUCGAUUUGGUGGAAACGAGACACAAAUUAAUCCAGUUUGCGAACAACACGAUUCGAAACCCUACAAUUCUUUUUAUUUUUUUGAUAUUUUUAUUUUACUUAGGAGCACUCAAGAAGUAACCACAAGAAAUUUGAGCUUAAACAAGUGAAGGACGUGGCCUGUGGAAUUUUUUGAAGAUUGCGAAAAAUAUAAAAAUAAAGUUUAGGAGGUGAAAACUCAAAUUUUCAGAGGCGAGUUUGGGAAUUCUAAAUUUGUCGCACCCGCCUAUGGUGGGGAUAGACAGAUCCAAAAAUUUUUCUGAUCAAUUUUGAUAUAUGGAACGUUAAAAUCAGUGUUCGUAGGCGAAAGUUAUGGCUGUUUUACGAACGGACUCUGAAUUAGAGGACAAAACGGUCCGGAAGUGGGAAAAAUUUGCGGUGGUGGCUAGAAAUUGAUGGAAACGGUGGGAAAAACACACAAACUGGACUCUAACAAGACCAAAUUAGUAACAAGACCUCGACCAGGACACAAACUCAACACUACGGACUAUGAAACUGAAAUAUGCAAAGGUUAUGGAGCGGAUGGGUUGUAGGACAUGAAAACAAUUUGGCACUAGACUUAUGGGACGAACACAAGGACACUCGAAACUAAGGGUAGAUGUGAACCUAACGGUGCGUCUGAAGCUUUGAUUACCACUUGAGGAGAACAAGGCCCGAUCUUCCGAAAGGUUUUGGUAACUAUCGAUUUGGUGGAAACAAGACACAAAUUAAUCCAGUUUGCGAACAACACGAUUAGAAACCCUGCAAUUCUUUUUAUUUUUUUUAUUUGAUAUUUUUGUUUUACUUAGGAGCACCGAACAAGUAGCCACAGGAAAUUUGAGCUUAAACAAGUGAAAGACGUUGCCUGUGGAAUUUUUUUAGAUUGCGAAAAAUAUGAAAAUAAACUUUAGGAGGUGAAAACUCAAAUUUAAAGGC